GGAAUAUUGGGCAAUGGGGGGAACCCUGACCCAGCCAUGCCGCGUGAGGGAAUGAGGCCCUACGGGUCGUGAACCUCUUUUAUUCGGGGACAAGGGCGCGGUCGCGAACCGUGCUUGAGGGUACCGAAGGAAUAAGCGUCGGCUAACUCCGUGCCAGCAGCCGCGGUAAUACGGAGGACGCGAGCGUUAUCCGGAUUCAUUGGGUUUAAAGGGUGCGCAGGCGGCCUUGCAAGUCAGCGGUGAAAGCCCGGGGCCCAACCCCGGAAGUGUCGUUGAUACUGUAGGGCUGGAAUGCGGUCGAGGCGGGCGGAACGUGGCGUGUAGCGGUGAAAUGCGUAGAUAUGCCACAGAACGCCGAUAGCGGAGGCAGCUCGCCAGGCCUGCAUUGACGCUCGGGCACGAAAGCGUGGGGAUCGAACA
rnacentral:rRNA from 1 species